AGAUCUGAAAUAACUAUUUUUGGCAUACAUUUACAUACAUUCAUAAUAAUAAUAAAACGUAUUAACCAGUCAUACAUCCAUACAACGAAUAAUUCAUAAUAUUCCAGUUAAUUCACAACAUAACAACUACAACCAAAAUCAAACAAGUGUGAACUAAUUUUCUUGCAAUUUAUAUCUAACAAUUGUUGCAUAAUAAUAUCAAUAUAAUUCAGUUGAAAUUGCUUUUAUCUGGUUAUUUUUCAACUUAUUCAUAUUAACUCAUCGUAAUAUGUUUGAUUUAACAAAGUACAUCUUUAAAAACUGCUCUAAAUAAAAAGAAUAAAUUCAAUUUACUGCUUGCAAGAAAAAAUUGGGUAACACAUGUAUAAUUUUGGUAGUGAAUUAAUUUACAAAAUAUAACUGGACAAAACAAUAAGUAAAUUUACAUUAAUGGCACAAGAACCAUUUACGUUUACCUCCAGAUUAUUCACAAUUCACAAUCGAGAACCAAGUGGGGAAAGGUGUAUACUGAAAAGUUUUAAAAGAAAAUUAUGUUAGAUGACUUCACCCCAAUGUAAACAUACUAGAAAAUUAUUUUUUCUUUGCUGUUGGAAAGCCAAGUUUCCAGCUUCAUUAAUAAUCUUUAAGUCCUAAUUGAUUAAUGAAAUAUUUCUGGUCAGAAGUUAUCAAGAGGGGAUGACAAGCUUAUGGAGAAUAAAAACAGUAUAGUAUGGGGAAAAGUGAGGGUAGUGGGGAAAAAUUACCAAAAAAUAAGAAAUUUGGAAAAAAAGCACAUUUUUUGAAGAAUCAGGUUUAACCAACACAGCAAAUCAAAUUAAUUUAAUAAAUCUUAAUAAAAAAUAUAAAUCCAUUGCAUAUAUCAUAAACAAUUAUAUCUCUCACAUCCAAUUUAUCUCUGUCUCUCACCAUCACUCAUUCAUGAUAAAAUACAUGUAAAAUGGAAUGUUUACAACAUGGAAUAAAAUUUAUAUAAUAUAUGGGCCUCAUCGGGUAGAAAUCAACCAUACGCAAAUGAAUAUUAAAUCUAUUUCAUAAUUGUAUAAAUAAACCAAUUUUUCAAGACGUUAAUCUAUUUCAAUUGGAGAAAAUUUCUGUAGAAAGUUUGUAAACUGUUAAAAAAUGAUUUGUUGUAAGAAAAAUCUACAAAACAUACUAAAACUCAUAUUUUCCAAAAUCAAUCACAGUCUUCAUACCCUCAGCCAGGGGGGAUUCGGACGACCCCCCCCCCCCCUUGAAAUUAAAAUAAGCACUGUUAAAGUCAAUGUUUUGUUCAAAUUGUGACUGUUAAAGUCGAGUUCAUGAGUCCAACGAACCCCCCCUUGGAAAUUCCUGGCUACGGGCCUGGUCUUUUAUAUGUACAUGCAUAUGUGCAUUUGCAUACAAUUGAUUUCUAUCUGACGCAGAUCAUAUCAACACCUUUGCUUUACAAAAUUCGCAUGCUGACAAUAUAUCAAACUUCAUAUUUAAAUUACAGUUAUUUCAUUUAAAUAAUAUAGUUUUACUUGUUUUUGCUCUUUAUUUAGUUAUAGUUUGCAUUACUUGCACAUGUAUCAAAAUGCAUAUUGUAAUUUUGUCACCUGAAUUUAUUGAAUGAAUUUUUUUUAAAGCCAGCUGUGUUGAUCUAUAGAUUUCAAUAAUAAAAUAAUGAAAUAAAUCAUCUUUUUAUUGCAAGUAUAAUUUUAUAUAAUUUAAUGUUUUUUCAGGCAUAAUAUAAAAUUUUUAGUUGUAGCUCUUGUUUUUCUAGUAAUCCUCAUCACAUAUCCAGAAAUCAACUUUGGAAGAUUCUGUCACUAAUACCAAGGGUUGGCAUUAGAAACUUAUAAUUUAUGAUCGUUCAUUCUAAAGAAAUACAAAAAUUAGCAAAUGUUUUAAUAACACAUUUGUAGGACUAUUGCACUAAAUUUAUCUAAUUUUGGCAAUGAAGGUGGGGUAUUUUGAGUUUAUUAAUUUUCGAUAAUUGGUGGGUCCUGAGGAUUUGAAAAUAUUAUGUACAAUAAUUUUAUCCCCAGAAUUAUAUAUUAUAUUUAUUACUAAGUCUACAUAGAGAUUACUAAUCUUAUCCAGAUCAACUAAAUUCAUCUCAGCUAGAAAAUUGCUACUAUGGUUUCAAAUAUAAUAUUUUUAUGGAAGUAUAUAAAUAAUGUAUUAACUAGAUUUUUAUAUGUAAAAAUAAGCUAUUUAAAUUUUAGCAUGUUCCAAAACACCUAAGAAAAUCCAGUUAAGAACCAAAGAAAAAUGAAACUAAUUUGAAAAAGAACAAAAAAUAAAUAAACUGACUAAAAUUGAAUAUGCUUUAUAGUUGAUUGCACCAUUUUUUUUUCAAACAAGGGAAGACAACUCUGGAAAUCAACAUUUCAGUUUCAAUUGCAAGAAGCACUGAUAUAUAUUGCACCAAAUUAGAUUCAGAACUGCACACAAAUUGAUAAGGAAGUUAAAAAUAAGACACUUGAAAUCAUAUUUCAAAGAAAUAAAAUAAAUAUUGAAAUAGGCGAUAUUGGAGACAAAAUAAUUUUGUACUUCGUUUUUUGAUUUUUUAUUCUAUAUCUAAACUCAUCUUAACAGAUGUAAAAUUUAUAAGCUUUUCAGCUAUUUUCAAUUUUUGAUACUCCUUCUAGGAAUGUCUAGUAUUUAAGAGGUAAUUUGUAUCAUAGGGUCUGUAGAUAGACCCUGAUAUGCAAACACACUUUUUUACUUUACACGACACAAACAGUUUUAAAACUUAAACAUAUCAUGUGUUACAUACACAGCCAUGCAAUAUAGUUUCAAAAUGUAAUUAAUUAAUCUUUCGCAUUGAAAAAGAGUAAAUAGCUAUGAUGUGACAAUGAUAUUGCACCCCCGUAUUAACUUUCAAACAUAUCUGAUUAAAAUACUGAGCUGAUGUCCAAGCUUAGCUUAGAAGGAUCUGAGAACUGAGAACAUUGUUCUAGUUUCAGUUCCUGGAAAAUCAGCCAAUGAAAUUUCAGCAUUGCAAAUUUUCAAUGAAAGGUCUUUAAAACAGAAAGAAGAGCGGAGUGUUUGCAGAUCUUUGUGAGCAUAGAUUGGACACUGUAUUUUUAUAAGACUAUUUAAAACAUAAUGCUGAUCUUGAAUCAAGAUAUAAGUAAAUCUACAUCUAUUCUAAUUUGCUGUAUAUACUUUAUAGUUCUACUGAAGCACGUCCUGUACAGUGAUUAGCACCAUGUUCUUGAGAACAAAAAUCGUUAACAACAACAAGUCUUUAGGAAAACAUCAACAAUCAUAAAAUUAUAGGCUUAAAAAAUCUACAGGGUAUAUUUUUAUUUUUCUAUUUGUGACAUACUCAUUAUUAGGCUACAUCAAUUUGAUUUCAAUUGUAAACAAAACUUAACUUUUCAAUAUGAGCAGAAAAGUAUCACCUUAUUGUCGUCUAACUUUUCUAAAUAUAAUUUUAAUCUUUUAUUGUUUAUUUUCAAUUUUUUUUUGGGGAGGGGAGGGGAGGGGAAGGGAGGAGGGGGCAACUUUAUAAAAAUUAAAAAAUCAGCUGAAUCCCUCAUGUUAAAUCAGCUAAUGCUUAACAAAUAUUUUCUUUAAUUGUAAAAAUCUAUUUAAAAUUCAGACCUGUAUAAAUUUUUUUUUAAUAAAAUUAUAUUUUAAACAAUUUGAUGCAGCCUUAAGUGUUUCUUGAAUUAACUAUAUAUAUAU
rnacentral:lncRNA from 1 species